rnacentral:rRNA from 1 species
CGCGGCCUAUCAGCUUGUUGGUGAGGUAAUGGCUCACCAAGGCGACAAUCAGUAGCCGUCCUGAGAGGGAGCACGGCCACACUGGAACUGAGACACGGUCCAGACUCCUACGGGAGGCAGCAGUGAGGAAUUUUUGGCAAUGGGCGAAAGGCUGACCAAGCAACGCCGCGUGGGUGAUGAAGUAUUUUGGUACGUAAAACCCUUUCGGCAGGGACGAAUUCUUGACGGUACCUGCGGAAGAAGCCCCGGCUAACUCCGUGCCAGCAGCCGCGGUAAUACGGGGGGGGCAAGCGUUGUUCGGAAUUACUGGGCGUAAAGAGCGCGUAAGCGGUUGGAUAAGUCAGUUGUGAAAACCUCACGCUCAACUUGAGGCCUGCAGUUGAAACUGUCCAGCUAGAGUGUGGGAGAGGAGAGUGGAAUUCCCGGUGUAGCGGUGAAAUGCGUACAUGUCGGGAGGAACACCAGUGGCGAAGGCGGCUCUCUGGACCACAACUGACGCUGAGGCGCGAAAGCUAUGGGAGCAAACAGGAUUAGAUACCCUGGUAGUCCUAGCUGUAAACGAUGGAUACUUGCUGUACGGGGUAUUGAAUCCUCCUGUGGCGAAGCUAACGCAUUAAGUACCCCGCCUGGGGAGUACGG